GAAUUAUUCCAGAGACCAUGAACUGGGGGUUGUGAAUGCCCAUGGUACAGGUGAACUGAGGGUUGUGAAUGCCCAUGGUACAGGUGAACUGAGGGUUGUGAAUGCCCAUGGUACAGGUGAACUGAGGGCUGUGAAUGCCCAUGGUACAGGUGAACUGAGGGUUGUGAAUGCCCAUGGUACAGGUGAACUGAGGGCUGUGAAUGCCCAUGGUACAGGUGAACUGAGGGUUGUGAAUGCCCAUGGUACAGACAUACAGCAAAGCCUCACGGACCCACUACAGCGCCGAUGCUGACUCGGUCCGUAGCCACCGUUUGUAGCGUUUGGUUUAGUUGGAGAGAGACAGGGUUCAGUCUUCACAGUAGAUCCCACAUACAGGAAAAGGUGCAUCUUCAGUUAUCAUAGAAUGAAUGUGCAGAGAUACUGCUGAAAGAAAAACUCAUCAAGGCAGGAGUGGCUGCGCGGAA